GGUAGAUGAGUACUCUGGGUCACGCUUGUCCCUAUGCUGGGAACUGUAUACCUCUGAGUUGCAGGGGCACUGGGCUCAGUGAGGUGGCCCUGCAGACCAACAGACCAACAGACCAACAGACCAAUUGGGGUGCAGAACCCCCUUAUAUAUACACACACAUAGGAAAGGCUGAGCUUGAAGAUAGGAGACUUAUUCACACCUAAGCAUGAUGGCUUUGCUGGGAGCAGAACUGCCUGUGCUGGGAGAAUAAGAGGAAAGUUCUCUGCCUGGAACCCAUGCUCCCUGGAGUCCCGGUUCCCAGCGGCUCACUUCUCAUCACUUAACCAAGAGCAGGAAGGAGAAUGCUUUCCUGGACAAUCUCACCUCCCACCUUCAUGCUCCUGUGGCACCUGAUAUGGAUGUUAAAGCUCACGACUGUGCAUUUCAGUGGUUAGUCUGCAUGCCUUCUUCUUUCUUGUGGUCUGCAAGCUCUUCACAGGAAAGUUGCUUAUUCACAUCUGUUUUCUUUACCUAAUAUGAAUUUGACUCUCACAGGUGA